rnacentral:rRNA from 1 species
UACGUAGGGUGCGAGCGUUAAUCGGAAUUACUGGGCGUAAAGCGUGCGCAGGCGGUUCGUUGUGUCGGCGGUGAAAGCCCCGGGCUCAACCUGGGAAUGGCCGUUGAAACUGGCGAACUGGAGUGUGGCAGGAGGGGGGUGGAAUUCCGCGUGUAGCAGUGAAAUGCGUAGAUAUGCGGAGGAACACCGAUGGCGAAGGCAAUCCCCCUGGGCCUGCACUGACGCUCAUGCACGAAAGCGUGGGGAGCAAACAGG